rnacentral:tRNA from 1 species
GAAGAUAUAACUCAGUGGUAGAUCAUGUGCUUAGCAUGCAUAAGGUCCUGGGUUCAAUCCCCAGUACCUCCA